CUUGUGACCACAGCGACAAGGAAUAAAUAGGAUGAUAUGCGCAGAGUGAUACAUAGCAGAGGAUCAGCGAAUUUGCGUCCUUCCAAGAGAUGAUGCCCCGAUUUCACUUUCAGUGUUCUACAAAACGGGGUAACAUAGUUUGCAAUUAAAAGUUGAUGCGAUGUGUAUGAAGUGAUCUUGAAUGAAAGCGGCUGCCCACCAAGUGUUGCAAAUGCUUGAUAUGAAGCACCCCAGUUAUGGCUCAUGCUAAUCCAGUUCGUCUUGCUUCCCUUCACCCACAUAUUCGCCACGUCCCCCCCUCCCCCGACGUUCAUCACGUACACCAGCACCCAGUACCCGUUCCCCUCGAACUUGAACCUUAUUCCCCCUUUCUUAUUGCAUCCUACUCUGCAACAAUAUAUGUAUAUAUGUGAUCUCAGAAUUCAAUAUUAUUUUCGUCCGCAAAAAAUAAUCAUGUUUUUCCACUAGGUGAGACUCAUUUUCUACUAACGUCUAAAAAUACUUUAGUCGUAUCUCUUUGUUGGUGUUUUACUUUAACAAUUUUACAUUAAUAAAUCUCUAGCGCUAACUUACUUUAUUAAUUUUGCAUUGAAACUCGUAUUAUCCACUACUAUGAUUAUUUUUAUGGGCCGAGGUUUUAUGUACGUACCUGCGGUAUGUGACUGGAACAAUGCCAGCGGUCCACUGAGCAAUCUUCAUGAAAGCUGGCUUGGCCAUGUCGAAAUGGGAGCGGGGCGGGUUGCACCAGCCGCCGUUGUUGGAGUCCUGAGACCAGUUGGGCGGGCAGAGAUUGGUGGCGGUGAUGGUCGUGAUGGGUGACCCUUUGUUGCACCACUUUGAAUUUACGCAACGGAGCUGGAAGCACUGCCCACACGCGUACCCGUUUUGGAAUAGCGUUGUGCUCAGCGCCGCCGUGUCCGUGCCAUAGCCGGUGUUGAACAAGUUUCCGUAUCCGCAUGCUCCGCCUGUGUAGCGCCAUUGCAUUUUUUUUAAUUUGUCACCAUAUCAUCAUAUUACUACAUGUGUUCAUUUCUUGAAAUAGUAAUUGGGAUUAAUGAUCAUGUGAGGCUAUUUUGAUUGAUUUUGUAAA